UGAGCAAUCUGCCCUUCUCAUCGGAAUAAGCGUUGGAAACGACGUCUAAUGCCGAAUACGACCUCCUUUCACAUGAUCGGAGGUGGAAAGCUCCGGCGGAGAAGGAUGAGCUCGCGGCCUAUCAGCUAGUUGGUGAGGUAAUAGCUCACCAAGGCGAUGACGGGUAGCCGGCCUGAGAGGGUGACCGGCCACACGUGGGACUGAGACACGGCCCAGACCUCGUACGGGGA
rnacentral:rRNA from 1 species